UACGUAGGGUGCAAGCGUUAUCCGGAAUCACUGGGCGUAAAGCGUGCGUAGGUGGUUUGUUAAGUCUGAUGUGAAAGCCCUGGGCUCAACCUGGGAAUUGCAUUGGAUACUGGCAGGCUAGAGUGCGGUAGAGGGUAGUGGAAUUCCCGGUGUAGCAGUGAAAUGCGUAGAGAUCGGGAGGAACACCAGUGGCGAAGGCGACUACCUGGACCAGCACUGACACUGAGGCACGAAAGCGUGGGAGCAAACAGG
rnacentral:rRNA from 1 species